rnacentral:lncRNA from 10 species
GUCCUGCCAGGGGACAAUUCUAGGGUGAAUUAUACAUGGCUUCUCAGAGACUUUCCAGCAGGAUUAUACUCCAGUUACCUAAAGCAAUGAACAGUUUGAAAAUGCACCCUUCCCCUAUUUCAUCCUGUCCAGUCCUUCCCACCAUUAGAACCACUUCCCAACAUCAACGAUCUGCAUGGGAGCACAUUUCUCAGGCUCUGUUUGAAGACACCCACAUUCCAUACAGCCUUUCCUGGUGCCUCUGAGUCCUGGGCUUCUCAGUUUCUCUAGAUAAUUGUCUUACUUCUCAUGGUGCCCUGCUCUGCCAGGGUUAGGAGCGCAUCCAAAUUCCCUGCCAAGGUAGUGGAAAUUCCAUCAUAAGUUUACCACCUUGCAAAUAUCUGUGGAUAUUUGCUGUCUCCUUUUCCCAUUCUCUUUGCUCUUGUAAGUUUCAAUAUUUUAAUUUUGUAUUGUUAUUUUAGCUGGGGAGCACUGCAAUAUACAAUAAUCAAACUUUUUUUAAAACUCACAGAUGGACUCAAUAGCAGAAUGGAAGUGACAAAGUGAAGAUUUAGUGAACUUGAAGACAGAACAAAAGAAAUGACUAACCUAAUGACAGAGAAAGAAAAAAAAAGCAGAGCUUCAGAUUUC